GGGGCUGACUGGUUUCGACAGCAGGGCCAAUGGGUAAGUAAGCAUGCAGAGAACCGUAGCGCGAUCUCUUUAAUCCCUUGCUACAAAAUUUUAGCUGGCAACCAAGAGUUUGCUCUUGCUGCUUAAUAACCGAAGUAUAGUAGGUUCAAGCAUUUUCCCGAAUAAUAGUAGGGAAGCAGGAUAUUCCACAAAAGCCCUGUCCUGCGGCGUUUGAGUAUGGGAUAUAGAAAUGCGGGAAUAAGACUUCAGUAACUUCGCCUGAGGUACGAAAAUCUUAGAAGUUAAGGUAAAAGUUGUGUGCUUUCUCACUGCUUUUUCCCGACAAUAAAUAGAAAGCUAAGCAUGUAGAAGGCUUACGUAUUGCCUGUAUGGACGAGGGUUCGAAUCCCUCCAGCUCCACUA
rnacentral:tmRNA from 1 species